rfam:Clostridium amylolyticum strain DSM 21864 genome assembly, contig: Ga0131114_110
AAUACCUUUAAGGCUGGUCCAGAGAGACUAGAAAGGGAAGAGCAAUAGACAUAUGAUAUCUAUAUAAUUUUGUAGGAUAACUAUGCCUUCCCUUUGGGAAGGCAUUUUUUAUA